GUCCACGCCCUAACGAUGUCAACUGGUUGUUGGACGGCUUGCUGUUCAGUAACGAAGCUAACGCGUGAAGUUGACCGCCUGGGAGUACGGCCGCAAGGUUGAAACUCAAAGGAAUUGACGGGACCCGCACAAGCGGUGGAUGAUGUGGUUUAAUUCGAUGCAACGCGAAACCUUACCUACCCUUGACAUGUCUAGAAGUUACCAGAGAUGGUUCGUGCUCGAAAGAGAACUAGAACACAGGUGCUGCAUGGCCGUCGU
rnacentral:rRNA from 1 species